AGCUCUCUCCAGAGUUGAGGGCGUCCCCCUCCUCGACAGCCCCUGCAGCAGCCUAGCAGAGACGCUGGGAUCCCCACCGGCCUCCCAGGCUGCUCCUCCUCUGCAGCCAGCAAGCUCAGACAGCAGU